GGCGCUGUGGCUGAGCAGCAAAGUACUUGGCUUCUGAACUGGGGUCCCGGGUUCAAAUCCUGGUGGGACUG
rnacentral:tRNA from 1 species